rnacentral:rRNA from 1 species
GACGGGCGAGUAACACGUAAUCGAGCUGCCCGCAAGACGGGGAUAACCUCGGGAAACCGAGGCUAAUACCCGAUGGUCUUACUGGAUCGCAUGGUCUGGUUAGUAAAUGCUGGGGUUCUUCGGGACCUGGUGCUUGCGGAGGUGAUUGCGGCCCAUCAGCUAGUUGGCGGGGUAACGGCCCACCAAGGCAAUGACGGGUAGCCGGCCUAAGAGGGUGGUCGGCCGCACUGGGACUGAGAUACUGCCCAGACUCCUACGGGAGGCUGCAGUCGAGAAUCCUCCGCAAUGGGCGAAAGCCUGACGGAGCGACGCCGCGUGGAGGACGAAGGCCUUCGGGUUGUAAACUCCUGUCACGGAUUAAGAAUGGCUUGGUGUUAACAGCAUCAAGUUUGACGUAAGUCCGAGAGGAAGCACUGGCUAACUCUGUGCCAGCAGCCGCGGUAAUACAGAGAGUGCGAACGUUGUUCGGAAUUACUGGGCUUAAAGCGCACGUAGGCGGCUCCGCAAGUGUCGGGUGAAAUCCCACGGCUUACCCGUGGAACUGCCCGGCAGACUGCGGAGCUAGAGGAUGGUAGGGGAGAGCGGAACUCCUGGUGGAGCGGUGAAAUGCGUAGAUAUCAGGAGGAACACCGGUGGCGAAGGCGGCUCUCUGGUCCAUAACUGACGCUGAGGUGCGAAAGCUAGGGGAGCAAACGGGAUU